CCUACGGGAGGCAGCAGUGGGGAAUAUUGCACAAUGGGGGAAACCCUGAUGCAGCGACGCCGCGUGAAGGAAGAAGGCUUUCGGGUUGUAAACUUCUUUUCUCAGGGACGAAGAAAGUGACGGUACCUGAGGAAUAAGCCACGGCUAACUACGUGCCAGCAGCCGCGGUAAUACGUAGGUGGCAAGCGUUAUCCGGAUUUACUGGGUGUAAAGGGCGUGUAGGCGGGACUGCAAGUCAGAUGUGAAAAUUAUGGGCUCAACCCAUAACCUGCAUUUGAAACUGUAGUUCUUGAGUGAUGGAGAGG
rnacentral:rRNA from 1 species